rnacentral:rRNA from 1 species
AUUGAACGCUGGCGGCAGGCCUAACACAUGCAAGUCGAACGAGUGGCGGACGGGUGAGUAAUGUCUGGGAAACUGCCCGAUGGAGGGGGAUAACUACUGGAAACGGUAGCUAAUACCGCAUACCAUCGGAUGUGCCCAGAUGGGAUUAGAUAGGAGGUGGGGUAACGGCUCACAUAGGCGACGAUCCCUAGCUGGUCUGAGAGGAUGACCAGCCACACUGGAACGUAGACACGGUCCAGACUCCUACGUGAGGCAGCAGUGUGGAAUAUUGCACAAUGGGCGCAAUCCUGAUGCAGCCAUCCCGCGUGUAUGAAGAAGGCCUUCGGGUUUUAAAGUACUUUCAGCGAGGAGGCGUUACUCGCAGAAGAAGCACCGGCUAACUCCGUGCCAGCAGCCGCGGUAAUUC